UACAGAGGUCCCAAGCGUUGUUCGGAUUCACUGGGCGUAAAGGGUGCGUAGGUGGUGGACUAAGUCGGGUGUGAAAUCUCCGGGCUCAACCCGGAGGCUGCGCUCGAAACUGGCCCGCUAGAGGAUGGGAGGGGAGACUGGAAUUCUCGGUGUAGCAGUGAAAUGCGUAGAUAUCGAGAGGAACACCGGUGGCGAAGGCGAGUCUCUGGACCAUUCCUGACACUGAGGCACGAAAGCCGGGGGAGCAAACAGG
rnacentral:rRNA from 1 species